GAUGAAGAACGCAGCGAAAUGCGAUAAGUAAUGUGAAUUGCAGAAUUCAGUGAAUCAUCGAAUCUUUGAACGCACAUUGCGCCCGCCAGUAUUCUGGCGGGCAUGCCUGUUCGAGUGUCAUUUCAACCAUCAAGCCCCAGGCUUGUGUUGGGGACCUGCGGCUGCCGCAGGCCCUGAAAACCAGUGGCGGGCUCGCUGUCACACCGGGCGUAGUAGAUUUUAUCUCGCUCAGGGCGUGCUGCGGGUUCCGGCCGUUAAAAAGCCUUUUUUACCCAAGGUUGACCUCGGAUCAGGUAGGAAGACCCGCUGAACUUAAGCAUAUCAAUAAGCGGAGGA
rnacentral:misc_RNA from 1 species